rnacentral:rRNA from 1 species
CCCGCACAAGCGGGGAGCAUGUGGUUUAAUUCGAAGCAACGCGAAGAACCUUACCAGGUCUUGACAUCCCGAUGCUAUUUCUAGAGAUAGAAAGUUACUUCGGUACAUCGGUGACAGGUGGUGCAUGGUUGUCGUCAGCUCGUGUCGUGAGAUGUUGGGUUAAGUCCCGCAACGAGCGCAACCCCUAUUGUUAGUUGCCAUCAUUCAGUUGGGCACUCUAGCGAGACUGCCGGUAAUAAACCGGAGGAAGUGGGGAUGACGUCAAAUCAUCAUGCCCCUUAUGACCUGGGCUACACACGUGCUACAAUGGUUGGUACAACGAGUUGCGAGUCGGUGACGGCGAGCUAAUCUCUUAAAGCCAAUCUCAGUUCGGAUUGUAGGCUGCAACUCGCCUACAUGAAGUCGGAAUCGCUAGUAAUCGCGGAUCAGCACGCCGCGGUGAAUACGUUCCCGGGCCUU